CUCCUUUCACUUCGGUUUUCUGAGUUGGUGUUUUGCCGAUUUCUCCAUGUUUUCUGUGCUUCUUUGUGUGGUGUCUCCUUUCACUUCGGUUUUCUGAGUUGGUGUUUUGCCGAUUUCUCCAUGUUUUCUGUGCUUCUUUGUGUGGUGUCUCCUUUCACUUCGGUUUUCUGAGUUGGUGUUUUGCCGAUUUCUCCAUGUUUUCUGUGCUUCUUUGUGUGGUGUCUCCUUUCACUUCGGUUUUCUGAGUUGGUGUUUUGCCGAUUUCUCCAUGUUUUCUGUGCUUCUUUGUGUGGUGUCUCCUUUCACUUCGGUUUUCUGAGUUGGUGUUUUGCCGAUUUCUCCAUGUUUUCUGUGCUUCUUUGUGUUGUGACUCAUUUUUCUAGAAAUUUUCAGUUCAAUCGUUGUCAAAUUCUUCUUCUUUUUCUUCUCAACUUAUUUUAUUUUUAGGGUUGUUCAAAAACAUCAUUAGAAACUUGUCGCCUCUCCAUCUUGUAAAGUUUUAAGAAUGAAAUUCUUGAAUUCGUUGGAUGUUGUUGAUAUAUAUAUACAUAUAUGUAUAGAAAAAUGUUAAAAUAAUUCACUCAUUUACUAAAUUGAUUCAUUGUAUUGUAACCAUCAUUAGAAAAAUGGAUCACCUCCAAAAGCCAUCAUUACAAUCAUGGCCUUCAUCACUACUUUCCUUCUCCCAAGCCUUCUUUAUUCCAAAAAAUCCCCCCUCCCCCUCUCCCUUUCCAUGUUUUCAGCUUUCAUCUGCACUCUCUUCAUUCUUUUCCUUUCCAAUUGUGUAAGUCUCAAUCUAGAGUUCUUCUCAACAAUAUUUUGAGAGCUGUACAUCUACCUCUUUUGUACUUAGCUUACUUGUCAUGCCUAGUGCUAUAUUGUUGUCACUCUCCUAUCCCUUCAUUUUUCUAAAGAAGCUGCUAAUUUAAUUAACAUUCUUUUUGUUGUAUCAAUUAUUAUUAUGUGGUUCAAUUUGACUUCUUUUUUUCUUUUCUUUUCUUUUAUUAGUAUUUUUUUUUUUUUGCCAUGAAUAGAGACUUCAAUUUUUUAUCAUGAUUUAUAUGGACUUUUUUGGUUAAAUGUAGUUACUUUGGAAUUGGGAUUAUCUUUGUAUUUGGAAGUAGUUAUUUAUAUAUUAUAUAAGCAUCUUUUAUUUAGAAGGUGUAUUGUGACAAGAUAAGUCUAAUUGUUGCAUUGUGUUUGAUUUUAUAUGUGAAUAUGAUUCUUACAUGUCAUGUGGAAUUUUUGAGUGAAAUUCUUUUGAUUUGAUAUCUUCUUAUGGUGUUCAUGAGAGUGAUUUGGAUUGGACUCUUUGUUGAUUUUGUUAUGUAUUUGUCUUGAAUUAAUAUCUUUAAACAUAACUCUACAAAGUCAUAUUUGUGAAGUUGUCAAUUUGGUUGUAUGUUUAGUUUGUAGGUUGUCACAUCUUGAUAAAUAGCAAUGUGGAUGCAAGUUUGAUGUAUGUUGUGAGUCCUCUAAAGCUUGAAUUUUGGAUAAGUAUCUUUUUUCAUCUUAUCAAUGUAUAAUUGACUACAACUCAAUCUUAGCAUUAUAAUCCUUCUUGAGUUUAAUAAACUCAAAAUAUUAUGAGAUCAAUUCAAUAUGAGAGUUGUCUAUAGUUUAAGUUUACAUUUUCUAUUGCUACUAAAUAAAAAUAAAAAUUCUACCUAUGCAAUCUAACACUACAAUUCAACUAGGAUCUUAGUUCCAUCUUACCACCCCAAGAACUUUAAAUGCUCCUUCCAAGUUUCACAAAAACUCUUUAAGACUUAAAAACCUCGUAAAAGCUUCACAUAAAGAAUCAAGUCUACAUCUUACAAUUAAGACCUCUUCCAUAAUUCUAUGUUCCCUUUGGAAAUGAGGAAUGCUUUCUUAGAACACCUUACAAUUGUCCUUCUAAGAUUCUUUACAAAUUCGAUGAGCUACUAAUUCUUCGAUCUUGCUACUCUUGAUUUAAGGAGAAAAGCCUUAUCAUGGUUGUCACUCAGACAUGCACGCCAAUGAUAUUAUAUGUGCUUUUGGAUCCAACAAAUUUGAAUGUACAUUGUAAAGACUUCACUGAGAGCUUAUAUAGAAUAAAUAAGUUUCAUGAAGAACUUUUGACUAAGGUUCAUACAAUUGGAAAUGAAAUAAAUGAAAGGGAUUAGCAUGAGAGUUAAGAAUGGAAGGAAGUAGGGGGAUGGAUUUUAGAAUAAAAAAAACUAGCAAUGAAAAAAACAAAAGUUCAGAAUAAAGGGCGUUGAAAUGAUGGCUAUAAUUAUAAUAAUGGUUUUUGGAGAUGAUCCAUUUUUUUUAAUGAUGGUUACAAUAAGAUAAGUUGAUUUAAUAAAUGAAUGGAUUAUUUUAAUAAUUUUUUAUAUAUACUUAUAAGUUUUUUUAUGUAAUAAUAUUGAAAGAUUUAUGAUAUCUAGAUUUGAGUAGAUUUUUGUUAAAUGAAAUUUUUGAAAGAUAUUUGAGAAUUAUUGAAAAUCAACCUAUUCCAAGAUGCCACCAAGAAGGUAGAGAGAAAAUUUUCUUAAUUAAAAUAAAUUAAAUAUAUUAUUUUUAUUUAUUUUAUAUUAUGAAUCAUAUUAUCUAUUCAUCUUUUAAAUUCAAAUAUAUUAUAUAUUUAAAUAUGUGCUUACAAGACCAUAUACAAAUAUUGAGUAGGUUAAAAUUGAAUUGUAAUAUAUAUAUAUAUAUAUAUAUAUAUAUAUAAAAUAUAAAAUUUUAAAAUAAUAUAAAUACAAAAAUAUAUUCAAUCUUGUAUGCAUUUUUGUAUUUAUAAGCUUAAAACUUAUUAUCUAAGAUUUGGAAAAGAACUUCAUAUAAAAACUUACUAUGAAGUUUUAAUGAUUUUUGAAAUAAAUAUAAAUAAGUUAAAAAAUAUUCUAGAAGUUUUAAAAUAUUAUUAUUAAUUUGAUUUUAAAUUUGAUGUAAAGAAGUUACACACAUGUUAUUAUAAAAAAAAUUUCUUAUAAUAAUAAACAUCAAAAAUAUUUACUCAAAUAUGUAUUAUUGAGUAUUUUUUCCAAAUUUAAAUACACCAUAAAUAUACUCUAUGUGAGAUAUUUAAUUUUGAUUUUUAAAAUUUAAAAUUUAGAUAAAUCUUUGUUCAUAUUGACUAAAUUAUCUAUUGAUGAGCAUUAUAUGAUUUUCUUAGAAUUAAAAAUUUCAAAACAUGUUGAUAUAUAAAUUCUAGAAUAAAAAUUUCUUUAAGCGCUAAAUUCUACAAAAGUUUAAAGAGUGCUAUGCCACAUUUGUUUUGAUAGAUGUUGUAAGUAUGGCAAUCAACCUAAAGUUUUUGUUUUUAAAUUUUUUUUUAUAUAGAUUUUUUUAUUAUUUAAAAAAUUAAAUAAAUAAAAUAUUUUUUAAAAAAUAUUUUUAUUAAUUAAUAUUUUUUAUUUUUUACUUUUUUUCUAUAUAAAAAAUUUAUUUUUAUGUUAUAAAAAGAAAAUCAUUCAAAGACAUGAAUCACAAAGAACAAAGAAUCAAUAUAUUCUUGUGUUACUAUAAAAGAGUAGAUAAUAACUCAAAAAUAGUAUAAUAUUAAGACUAUAAUAACUAUUGUUAAAUAUAAAGCAUUGGCAAGAGUGAAAAAGACCUCACUCUUGCCUCCAUAUAUACUAACUAGGAUCUAUGGGGCAACAUUCUACAUGACCUUUGAUAUAUGCUUAUCUUGCAAAACACAUGUCUAACUUGCAAGAUAAGUUUCCUAAAUGUGUGCCACAUAGCUAACUUGUACCAUAAGUCAUCAACAUGUGCAAUACUUGGCUAACUUGUUGGCCAAGUUUUUAACCUACCAAUCACCUAUAAUUAUGUAAAAAGUUGAAUUUGCAUCUAUAAAGAUUCUAAAAAGUUUUUCCACAAGAUUUUAUCAAUUUUAUUUACUUCUAUUUAAUUCUAUCUAAUUCCUUUAAUCUAUGUAAAUAUGUAUGUCCAUGACACUUGUUAAAUAAGCACUUACAAAAUACAUCCAAAGAUAUUUUAGAUUUUUUGAAUAUGUAAUUUUAGAAAAAUAUUCUAUAGUACAAAAGGUUUUAAAAGUAAACAAAAAAGCAUUGUUCAUGAUAUAAUUUUAUUGUUUUGCAAGAUUUUAAUAAUAAAUCUACAAAAAAUAAAUCUAUGUGAAAUACAUAAAACACCAAGAAUACGAGAGUCCUGGGAGGACACCCACACAGAAGUUCGUCCGCCACGUCACACCCAUCGGAAAGGGAGUCUCAAACCCAGCCAAGCCAGGGCCGGAAGGAGGGAGAGAGAGCGGGACCCAUCCACGCUGGCCUAACUCGGAGUGAGCGGAGCGAAGGGACGCAAAUCCAGUCACUUGUCGUGGCGGCCACGUUGGCAAGCCACGUCAACCGGGAGCUUGAGAAAACGCAUGUGUGAAAGGGAAGACGAAAGAGGAGUGGUUGGGGAGGGUAGCACCCAAGCCCGUGGAAGACAAUGGAGGGCGAAAAGGAGGGAUCACCCAAACCCGUGGAAGGCAAGGCAAGGCGAAGAAGAGGGAGGUGAAUGCAAGAGUGAGAGAGAGUGAGCCAUGGCGGCUCUUCCCUUUCCUUUUACUUUCCUUCCUGAAACCUUAUCCCGAUGGGAGGGAGUUUGCUUUUUAUUGCUUCCUGCUACUAUUGCUCGCUCGCCGCAGAGGGCGACGCUCUUAGGCGCCACAAGUCUCUGCGCUACGUAAACGCAAUUGGGUCCAAACCAAAACCAGGCUCUACCGACGCCUUAUGGCUACUACUACUACUACCACGAUCACAACUCUGCCUUGAAACUGUUACUCGCCAUCGUGCCUCUAUUGCCGAGGGAGGAAUCAUCAAAACCAAAACCUCUGAAAAGAUAUGGCAGUUCUGAGGUCAGGGCUCUUUCUCGCACCUCCAGCGUCGCUCUCCUCACACAGCGCCGGCGCCAUUCGAGAUGACUCUGGACGGACAAGUGUUUCCUACUGCGGAGGAUGCUUGAGUGGCAACGCCGGAGAUGUGAGUGAGAGGUUGAAUCCUGGUGGGUUGAUUAUUGGGAAUGGCGCUUGUAGUCGAGGUAGGCUCGUGGUUGUUGGUAGAGCCGGUGGGUCUCGUCCUGCUGCGGGGGCCAGACGGCCGCGCCCGCAACCGAACAGGCGUUCCGGAGCGAAGGAGCCUCAGGAUGAG
rnacentral:lncRNA from 1 species